UUCACCAUACUUUGUUUAAUAAGUUUUGCUACUUCAAGCCUAUCUACUAGAAUACUGAAGUAUUGCGUGAUUAUCUUUGCUACUUCAGCUAUGUAUGCUGAAGUUACUCAAAAAGAGUAGGUACGCUUGUAAUUUUUUUUACAAAGUAAGCACAAGUUAAAAUGUGACUCAAAAACAGAUAUAAAUACAAAUAAAAGUAGGAUUUAUAUAUAUUCUACCCUUUCAAUACCCUACUAAUAAGAUUACACUAGGUAUAUUUAUUUUCGUCUGAACACGGCAUAGAAAUGGGCCACGCAUCUAUGUGAAUUAGUAUUUUACAAGAAAUUA
rnacentral:lncRNA from 1 species